rnacentral:rRNA from 1 species
UGCCAGCAGCCGCGGUAAUACGGAGGGUGCAAGCGUUAAUCGGAAUUACUGGGCGUAAAGGGUACGUAGGUGGUUUGUUAAGUUGGAUGUGAAAGCCCUGGGCUUAACCUGGGAACUGCAUUCAAAACUGGCAGACUUGAGUUUGGCAGAGGCUAGUGGAAUUCCAGGUGUAGCGGUGAAAUGCGUAGAGAUCUGGAGGAACAUCAGUGGCGAAGGCGACUGGCUGGGCUAAAACUGACACUGAAGUACGAAAGCGUGGGGAGCAAACAGGAUUAGAUA